rnacentral:rRNA from 1 species
AUUCCCUCAGUAACGGCGAGUGAAGCGGGAAGAGCUCAGACGUAAAAUCUUCGGAAAUGUCGUCUGGAGAAGCGAGAUGAAACUGUUAGGGCGGGCCAAGUCUUCUGGAACGAAGCGCCAGUGAGGGUGAUAGCCCCGUACAUGCCUGCCCGAAAGGUCGAAUUCUGCUUUCAACGAGUCGAGUUGUUUGGGAUUGCAGCUCUAAGCGGGUGGUAAAUUCCAUCUAAAGCUAAAUAUUGGUGGGAGACCGAUAGCGAACAAGUACCGUGAGGGAAAGAUGCAAAGAACUUUGAAAAGAGAGUGAAAGAGUACCUGAAAUUGCUGAAAAGGAACCGAUGGGAGGCAGUGUUGCCUGUGGUCACUCGUGGCUGCAGCAAGUCAGGCUUCCUUGGGUGCGCGGGAGAGGGGUUCGGACCUGUAUGGGCCGAGCAUUCCGUCGUGCGCCCGAGGGACUCUGACAAAAUGCCUCUUAUCAUCCCGUCUUGAAACACGGACCAAGGAGUCUAACAUGUGUGCGAGUGCUCGGGGUGAACCCCCCAGCGCGGAAUUAACGUAAAGGCUCUGUAUGGAGCUGAGGUAGGAUGUUUCGACAGCACUAUCGACCGACCAUGAUCCCUCGGGUGAAAGGUUUGAGUGUGAGCAUACAUGUUGGGACCCGAAAGAUGGUGAACUAUGCCUGAGUAGGGCGAAGCCAGGGGAAACUCUGGUGGAGGUCCGUAGCGAUUCUAACGUGCAAAUUGAUCGUCGAACUUGGGUAUAGGGGCGAAAGACUAAUCGAACCAUCUAGUAGCUGGUUCCUCCCGAAAUUUCCCUCAGGAUAGCUGCAACCGAACAGUUUUAUCAGGUAAAGAGAAUGAUUAGAGGCAUCAGGGGUGGAACGUCCUUGACCUAUUCUCAAACUUUAAAUGGGUAAGAGCCCCGGGUUGCUUAAUUUGAACCCGGUGGUCGAAUGACGGUUGCUAGUGGGCCAAUCUGGGUAAGCUAGAUUGGCGAUGCGGGAUGAACCGAACGUCAAGUUAAAGUGCCAAAGUAUCCGCUAACCUAGAUCCCACAAAAGGUGUUGGUUCA